GGGAGGCAGCAGUGGGGAAUUUUGGACAAUGGGCGAAAGCCUGAUCCAGCCAUGCCGCGUGAGUGAAGAAGGCCUUCGGGUUGUAAACCGCUUUUGUCAGGGAAGAAACGGUCUGAACUAAUACUUUGGACUAAUGACGGUUCCUGAAGAAUAGGCACCGGCUAACUACGUGCCACCAGCCG
rnacentral:rRNA from 1 species